GGGUGAGGCUGUUUAUAUAUUAUCAAUCUUGUUAACUUAGUACAGAUAUAUAUGCUUCCUUUAUAAUGAGACUUUCUAUACAACAAAGUGAGGUCAUUCUCUGUUGAUUUAUACCAUAAGGUGCUGGCUAUCAUGUGUUUGAAGAUACCCUAAACUUAACCUAACAUAACCUACCAAAACCAAAACAAACACUAUAGGUCUUGACUCAGAAAAUUCAUAAAUGCUUCCUUUAUAAUGAGACUUUCUAUACAACAAAGUGAGGUCAUUCUUUGUUGAUUUAUACCAUAAGGUGCUGGCUAUCAUGUGUUUGAAGAUACCCUAAACUUAACCUAACAUAACCUACCAAAACCAAAACAAACACUAUAGGUCUUGACUCAGAAAAUUCAUAUAUGCUUCCUUUAUAAUGAGACUUUCUAUACAACAAAGUGAGGUCAUUCUUUGUUGAUUUAUACCAUAAGGUGCUGGCUAUCAUGUGUUUGAAGAUACCCUAAACUUAACCUAACAUACCCUAUCAAAACCAAAACAAACACUAUAGGUCUUGACUCAGAAAAUUCAUAUAUGCUUCCUUUAUAAUGAGACUUUCUAUACAACAAAGUGAGGUUUUUCUUUGUUGAUUUAUACCAUAAGGUGCUGGCUAUCAUGUGUUUGAAGAUACCCUAAACUUAACCUAACAUAACCUAUCAAAACUCAAACAGUUACUAUAGGCCUUGACUUCAAAAAUUCAUAUCUGCUUCCUUACUAAUGAGGCUUUCUAUACAACAGAGUGAGGUCAUUCUUUGUUGAUUUAUGCCAUAAGGUGCUGGCUAUCAUGUGUUUGAAGAUAACCUAAACAUAACAUAACCAAACCUCAAACAGUUACUACAGGUCUUGACUCAGAAAAUUCAUAUAUGCUUCCUUACUAAUGAGACUUUCUAUACAACAAAAACAGCCCAACAAAAACACAAGGCAAAUGA